rnacentral:ncRNA from 2 species
UAUAAUUAGACUCUGUUCGGUUUUAUCGGGGAUCAGCCGAUAAAAGCAAUGGGGAAAGAACGGUGCAAAUCCGUCGCUGUCCCGCAGCUGUAAGGAAAUUUUCAGCAAUUUCUAAGUCAGAAUGCCCGCCGAGCCAAGCAUAAACGU